GACGAACGCUGGCGGCGUGCUUAACACAUGCAAGUCGAACGGAAAGGCCCUGCUUUUGUGGGGUGCUCGAGUGGCGAACGGGUGAGUAACACGUGAGUAACCUGCCCUUGACUUUGGGAUAACUUCAGGAAACUGGGGCUAAUACCGGAUAGGAGCUCCUGCUGCAUGGUGGGGGUUGGAAAGUUUCGGCGGUUGGGGAUGGACUCGCGGCUUAUCAGCUUGUUGGUGGGGUAGUGGCUUACCAAGGCUUUGACGGGUAGCCGGCCUGAGAGGGUGACCGGCCACAUUGGGACUGAGAUCCGGCCCGGCCUCUUCCGGAGGGCAGCGGGGGGGAUUAUUCAACAAGGGGCGGAGCCCUAUGGCGGCAACGCCGCGUGCGGAUUGAGGCCCUCCGGUUUGAAACCCGUUUUCGCUUGUAAGAAGGCGGAGGUGCCGUUAUUGGGUAAGGAGGCCCCGCCUACUACCUU
rnacentral:rRNA from 1 species